CCUACGGGGUGCUGCAGUCGAGAAUCAUUCACAAUGGGGGAAACCCUGAUGGUGCGACGCCGCGUGGGGGAAUGAAGGACUUCGGAUUGUAAACCCCUGUCAUGUGGGAGCAAAUUAAAAAGAUAGUACCACAAGAGGAAGAGACGGCUAACGCUGUGCCAGCAGCCGCGUUACUACAGAGGUCUCAAGCGUUGUUCGGAAUCACUGGGCGUAAAGCGUGCGUAUGCUGUUUCGUAAGUCGUGUGUGAAAGGCGCGGGCUCAACCCGCGGACGGCACAUGAUACUGCGAGACUAGAGUAAUGGAGGGGGAACCGGAAUUCUCGGUGUAGCAGUGAAAUGCGUAGAUAUCGAGAGGAACACUCGUGGCGAAGGCGGGUUACUGGACAUUAACUGACGCUGAGGCACGAAGGCCAGGGGAGCGAAAGGGAUUAGAUACCCCAGUAGUC
rnacentral:rRNA from 1 species